GAAAUUACUUCGUAUGCGGCCAUAAUAAUAAGCGUACAAUCAUAAUGCCGACACACAUUCGCGCGCUCACACGUACAGCAGCGGAUGUAACUUAAGUUUGAAUCUCUAUUGCUGAUCUCCAAGUUUGAGCACUUCGCAGUACCAUUGCUGGGAUGUCAAACGUGCCGUGCCAAAGAUCGAUGCUUCCAUUUGCUCCCCAUUUCUGGGAAUAAGUUCCACGGUGGUGUGCGGAU